AUACUUACCUGGCAAGGGAGACACCGUGAUCACGAAGGCGGUUCACCCAGGGCGAGGCUCAGCCAUUGCACUCCGGCUGUGCUGACCCCUGCGAAUUUUUCUCUCGAUUGCAUAAUUUCUGGUAGUGGGGGACUGCGUUCGCGCUCUCCCCUG
rnacentral:snRNA from 1 species